AUUGAACGCUGGCGGCAGGCCUAACACAUGCAAGUCGAGCGGUUGAGGUAGCUUGCUACCGAUGCAGCGGCGGACGGGUGAGUAAUACAUGGGAAUCUGCCUGGUAGUGGGGGACAACGUUUCGAAAGGAACGCUAAUACCGCAUACGCCCUACGGGAGAAAGGGGGGGAUCUUCGGACCUCUCGCUCUCAGAUGAGCCCAUGUCGGAUUAGCUUGUUGGGGAGGUAAAGGCUCACCAAGGCGACGAUCCGUAACUGGUCUGAGAGGAUGAUCAGUCACACUGGAACUGAGACACGGUCCAGACUCCUACGGGAGGCAGCAGUGGGGAAUAUUGGACAAUGGGCGCAAGCCUGAUCCAGCCAUGCCGCGUGUGUGAAGAAGGCCUUAGGGUUGUAAAGCACUUUCAGUGGGGAGAAAGGUUAUUCACCUAAUACGUGAGUAAAUUGAUGUUACCCACAGAAGAAGCACCGGCUAACUCCGUGCCAGCCGCCGCAGUAA
rnacentral:rRNA from 1 species